UACGUAGGGGGCGAGCGUUAAUCGGAAUUACUGGGCGUAAAGCGUGCGCAGGCGGUUUUGUAAGUCAGAUGUGAAAUCCCCGGGCUUAACCUGGGAACUGCGUUUGAAACUACAAGGCUAGAGUGUGGCAGAGGGGGGUGGAAUUCCACGUGUAGCAGUGAAAUGCGUAGAGAUGUGGAGGAACACCGAUGGCGAAGGCAGCCCCCUGGGUUAACACUGACGCUCAGGCACGAAAGCGUGGGGAGCAAACAGG
rnacentral:rRNA from 1 species